rnacentral:lncRNA from 1 species
AGGGCCAGCUCUGGGACCAGACUAGCCUGCUCAGGGCUGGGUCCAGGUGGGUCCUGAAAACCUCCAAGGACGGAGCCUGCACAGCUCCGCUGGGCAACCUGCUCCACUGCCUGCCUGUCCUCAGGGUGAGAACAUUUUUCCUUAUAUCCAGCCUGAACCUCUCUUGUUUCAACCUGUGUCCACUUGUCUCUCAUCUUUCCACUGCAGGACUGGUUCUCCCAGUUUGGUGUCCUCUGCAAACUUGUUUGAGACUACUUUAUUAAAUAAAAUGCUUGUAAAAAUGUCAGGGAAAUUACCUACCCGUAGGAGGUUUCUUGUACCUUCUUCUGGCUGCCGCUGCCAUACUAGAUUAGACAGGCUAUGGUUCUUGCAGUCUUUUCUAUCUAGUUCGGCCCUGCAUUGCCUACCAGCAGUGUUCUGGCUUAAGAAAAUUGGAUGAGAAGCUCUAGAGAUUCUGUACUUUAACCAGCUAAAACGGUAACAAAUGAAAGAUAUGUGGACUGAGCAAGCAAAGGAGUGGUUUUCCCAAGAGAAGCAAAAGCAUCAAAAUGCAGUUUCUUUAUAAGGACUUUUGUUAUGGCAGAAGCACAUUUAAUGAGAAGGAGAAGAGUCAUCUUUCUACACACACUAUAUAUAACUUUGUAAACCUUCCCUUUGAAGUAUUUGCAUGCAACUUAAGCUGUACUCAAGAAUCCGUGAAAGUCUUUUCAAAGAAGUUAACUUUUUAAUGAAAACAUUUUCAUAAUACAGAAGUAAAAGCAAAAAUUCGACUUUUCUCUAGGUCUGAGUAGAUUUUACUGAAGUGAAACAAAAAGAAAUCCAGGAAUUGGUCAAAAGUCUGUUUUUAGUGCAGGUGUAAUUUCUUGUGGUGGAGAGGAGGAAGGAAGGAAAAAGAUCAGGAACUGGCAGGGAGUUUAUCCCUUCAAGCUUGUGGUCUGAUUAGAUGGGGAUAAAAACCUGCAGUCAGAGGGAGCAUAUUCAGAAAAUAGCUGAAUUCUGCUAAGGAUAGUAGUGGUUGAUGGAGGGCCGACUAGGUGGCAGUUGGUUGACAUAACAAGGGACAAGUUGCUGAAGAUUUCCAGGGCUCAGUCAGUGUGGAACUGGAAAAAGGAGGAGGGGAGUGAGUAUAUAAAUCAAUGAAGCAGGGAAUAUGCAUUUUCCAUCUCAGACAGACCCAACACUCUCUUAAUAUAUUAGGCAGCUUGAUACCCAUACUAGAUUACCAGCUGCAAUGCAGAUUUUUACUUUUUUUAAGGGAGAUGAAAGAAUUUGGUAAGAAAAUGUGCAAGUAACUACUUCAUUGGUCCUGCCAUUCUGUAAC